UACGUAGGGUGCGAGCGUUAAUCGGAAUUACUGGGCGUAAAGCGUGCGCAGGCGGUGAUGUAAGACAGGUGUGAAAUCCCCGGGCUUAACCUGGGAACUGCAUUUGUGACUGCAUCGCUGGAGUGCGGCAGAGGGGGAUGGAAUUCCGCGUGUAGCAGUGAAAUGCGUAGAGAUGUGGAGGAAUACCGAUGGCGAAGGCAGCCCCCUGGGCCAACACUGACGCUCAUGCACGAAAGCGUGGGGAGCAAACAGG
rnacentral:rRNA from 1 species